AGACGGCCAGCCGGGCCGCGCCAGGGACAUACUGGAGACAGGAAGUGGCUGAGAGGGGGAGAGAGUUGGAGAGAGACGGCCGCGGAGGACACGGGGACGGGAAAGUCUGAGAGACGGGGAGAGCCUGACCCGGCGGGACACAGGCAGAAAGAAACACGCGAGCCAGACAGACGCAGAAGAAACGGUGGGCGUAGGUCUAGAAGGGACUAGGAACAAGGGGACAGGGAACUGCCGCGCAGCGUCAGCCUCUUACCCUCCCCACAGGAGUGUGCCUGGGCUUGGGCCUGACCUGAGAGGACCACCCGUGGCUUAGCCUGGUGGUGCUAGCGUCCCCUACCCAGGCGGGCGCCUGAAUCAGGUGAAGACACCUGGUGUUACUUUUGGCCCAAGUCAUUGGACACCCUUCCCUGGUCCUCUGCCCCACAGGAGACUUCUCCUGGGCUAGUAUUCUCAAAGGAUUCACAGCUGGGGACCUUUCCGUCAGGCUCAAGCCCCCAUCUCCACCCGCAAGCAGCUCCAGCCAUCCCAUCCACUGCCCUGCUUUAUUCAUUGAGACGGGAGUCUGUCUCUGUCGCCCAGGCUGGAGUGCAGUGGCGCCAUCUCGGCUCACUGCAACCUCUGCCUCCCAGGCUCAAGCGAUCCUCCCACCUCAGCCUCCCGAGUAGCUGGGACUACAAGAUGGGCGCCGCCACGCCCAGCUAAUUUUUUGUAGAGAUGGGUUUUCGCCAUGUUGCCCAGGCUGGUCUCCAAUUCUUGAGCUCAAGCGAUUUCCCCUUCUUGGCCUCCCAAAGUGCUGGGAUUACAGACGUGAGCCACCGUGCCCGGCCCAUUGCCCUAUUUUAAAGAGCUGGACCGUCAUUCCCAGUUCGCAGGAGACCUCUGAGAAGGUCUUCCUUACAUUUAACUUGAGUCCAGCCUUUCCAAAUGGAGAUGGAAGUUCUUUCUAUGGUCUGACCUCAUUCCCUUCUUUUGCAGUGCCUGGUACUGGAUAGGAACUUCAUGGAAUGGAGCUAAUGGGCCGUAGGGCAGGUUUGAGUCGUGCCACCCUGGAGCAGAAGGUGGAGGGUAGGGAUAAGGUAGGGGACAUCUUCCUAGAAGUUCUGAACCUGUUGCCAUUCCUACAUUCCCCCAACGUCCUUUAGCAGUGAGCACUUCCUGAAACUUUCUCCCUCCUUCACCCUCCCUGCUGGAUUUUCCAUGAUGAAAAGGGGCGGGGGGAAGGAAGGUUGGAAUUCUGAGAACCCAGUGCCCAGGGCUCAAUGCCCAGUGCUUGCCCAAAGUAGCCAGUACCACUGGCUCUAAGGCCUUCUUUCCCUCCCCGUCUCAUCUCAACUGGGUCCCUUGUCUUUGGCAAAGGCUGAGAAGUCUGGUUCUCAUUUCCAGGGGGUGGAGCACCUGAUUCCAAUCUUGCCACAGGGAAGAAGAGUCUGUGAAGAAGUGCGUGAUGACUGUGUGUCCCCCCCCACCCAGAAAUUGGCAUUUGGGAGGGGUGGAUAUGGUUGGGACUGGGGAGCCUUGAUCUUACUGCUCUUGGUUGAGUUGGUGUCCAAUAGACAGUUUCAGAGGUUAGAGCAGUGGGAGUCACUGGGGACUGGGGACAGGAGAGGUGGGGGUGGGGGAAGCCAGGCGGGAAUGAGUAGGGAGGCACUGGGAGGAGGGGAGAGGCAAGAGUUAGGGGAAUACCGAGGAAAGUGGCAGGGAUUGGAGGCUCCUGGAGAAAGGGCAAGGCUGAAGGUUGUCCCAUGUAUUUUGGCCAGAUUUGAUUAUGUAAUCGAGAAUCAUGAGAUA
rnacentral:lncRNA from 1 species